rnacentral:ncRNA from 1 species
GCGCCAAGGUGCCUGCCGCAAGGCAGGUGAAAAGGGAAUCCGGUGUGAAUCCGGAGCGAUACAGUCACUGUGUAAGGAAGCGGCCCUGCAAAAACUACUGGGAAACCGGGAAGGACAGAAGCCGCGUCGACCGAAGUCAGGAGACCUGCCUUGGCGU